rnacentral:sRNA from 1 species
UUGGCCCGCAGGGCGAGUCUCAGGAUGAAAUGAGUAACUCUGUAGCAGGUUCGGGUCUCACGUAGUGAGACAAGGUCGCCGCUUGCGGCGACGACCCGAAGGGCGAGCAAAGCGGUCACCCUGCACGACCCACCA